CCUACGGGUGGCUGCAGUGGGGAAUAUUGCGCAAUGGGCGAAAGCCUGACGCAGCGACGCCGCGUGAGGGAUGAAGGUCUUCGGCUCGUAAACCUCUGUCAGCAGGGAAGAACGGUAACUGUGCUAAUCAGCCUUGAAUUGACGGUACCUGCUAAGGAAGCACCGGCUAACUCCGUGCCAGCAGCCGCGGUAAUACGGAGGGGGCGAGCGUUAAUCGGAAUUACUGGGCGUAAAGCGCUCGUAGGCGGUAUGUCAAGUCAGGGGUGAAAUCCCCGCGCUCAACGUGGGAACUGCCUUAGAAACUGGCAAACUGGAGGGUGGGAGAGGAGAGUGGAAUUCCAGGUGUAGGAGUGAAAUGCGUAGAUAUCUGGAGGAACAUCAGUGGCGAAGGCGACUAGCUGGCACGUAACUGACGCUGAGGAGCGAAAGCGUGGGUAGCGAACAGGAUUAGAUACCCGGGUAGUC
rnacentral:rRNA from 1 species